rnacentral:snRNA from 1 species
GUGCUCGCUUGGGCAGCACACAUGCUAAAAUUGGGAUGAUACAGAGAAGAUUAGCAUGGCCCUUGGGCAAGGAUGAUAAGAAUUUAAAUUAUAUUUUAAAAAGUUAN